rnacentral:rRNA from 1 species
GACGAACGCUGGCGGCGUGCCUAAUACAUGCAAGUCGAACGCAGUGGGGACGGGUGAGUAACACGUGGGUGACCUCCCAUCAGAGGGGAUAACCCUGGGAAACAGGUGCUAAACCGAUACUGAUGGAUGGACCCGCGGUGCAUUCGCUAGUUGGUGAUGGAACGGCUCACCAAGGCCACGAUGCAUAGACGACCGGAGAGGGGGAUCGGCCACACUGGGACUGAGACACGGCCCAGACUCCUACGGGAGGCAGCAGUAGGGAAUCUUCGGCAAGGGACGAAAGUCGGACCGAGCAACGCCGCGUGAGUGAAGAAGGUGCUCGGAUCGUAAAACUCUGUUGGUAGAGAAGCGGUAUCUAACCAGAAAGCCACGGCUAACUACGUGCCAGCAGCCGCGGUAAUAC